CACACACACACACACACACACACACAGAAAUGAAACCAGAAACAUGUAAAUUACUGUUGAAGGGCAUCCAGAGUUUCGGAACAAUGACGACUCAGCUAAAAGACCACAGCAGUAUCAUCAGGA